AAAAAAAAAAAAAAAAAACUAGGGGUAAAAACUCGGAAGGGCGGUUCUAAUCAGAUGGGCAGAGGGGAAAGUGAAAACCCGCAAGGGCACUUUUCGCAAAAUAAGAAAGUCGAGAACAGAAAGGGCAUCCUGAGAAGUGAGUAAGAAAGGGAAAGUUAUGGGUUUAAAUCUUGAGACUUGUCCUCCAUUAAUCGUUUAUCCUCGGGAUCCUGUUAAGUACACUUCGUCAAGGAAAGAACUUCAUGUGUCAGGGU
rnacentral:misc_RNA from 1 species